UCUCGAUUCGUCUAGUGGUUAGGAUACCUGCUUGUCACCUCACUAUUGUGGCUGUCGAGUUCGCAGGUGGCCGGGGUUCAAUUCCCCGAUCGAGAG